GCCAGGGGUGGUGGUGUAUGACAAUAAUUCCUGCCACCAGGAGGCUGAGGCUGAUGAAUGGCUUGAGCUUAGGCAUUCUGAGCUGCAAUGGUCUGGGUUGAUUCUGUGUUUGCACUAAGGUCAGCAUUAAUAGAAUAAAGUUGCCUAAAGAGGGGUGAACCGACCUGGGUUAUAAAUGGAGCAGGUCAAAACUCCUAUACUGAUCAGAGUGGGACCAGAUCUAUGAGUGGUCCCUGCACUUCUAUCCUGGGUGAGAUGGGGAAAUCCAGUCUUU
rnacentral:SRP_RNA from 1 species